rnacentral:rRNA from 1 species
UAGCCUUGACAUUGAUUGAACGGACCAGAGAUGGACCGGUGCCCUUCGGGGAACAUGAAAACAGGUGCUGCACGGCUGUCGUCAGCUCGUGUCGUGAGAUGUUGGGUUAAGUCCCGCAACGAGCGCAACCCUCGUCAAUAGUUGCCAGCAGGUUAAGCUGGGCACUCUAUUGAGACUGCCUUCGCAAGGAGGAGGAAGGUGAGGACGACGUCAAGUCAUCAUGGCCCUUAUGGCUAGGGCUACACACGUGCUACAAUGGGGCGUACAGAGAGUUGCGAUACCGCGAGGUGGAGCCAAUCUCAUAAAGCGUCUCUCAGUUCGGAUUGAAGUCUGCAACUCGACUUCAUGAAGCUGGAAUCACUAGUAAUCGUAGAUCAGCAAUGCUACGGUGAAUACGUUCCCGGGUCU